AUCCAGCCUGCUCCUUUCACGCUUUCCAUCCGUGCUGGGCUGAGUAUCGAACUAGCAACUCGGCCUCGUAAAAAGCAGACAAAAAAUGCCGCAGAAACGGCAAAGCUGCUGCGUCACAAGGCGCGGAAAGGAACAGCAUAUAUCGUGAAAGCUGUUGUUUUGUGGCAGGACAUAAAAAUUACUGUAAGUUGCCGAAGAAAUGAGUAAAUAGUGUGAAAGAGCAGCAGCAAGAUGGUGUUGAUGGGUUUAGGGAUCAUUCAGGAAUCUGAUGGCGGAGGGGAAGAAGCUGUCCCUAAAACUUGAGUGUGCAUCUUCAGGCUCCUGUACUUCCUCACUGAUGAUAGUAAUGAGAUGGGGGCAUAUCCUGCAUGGUGAGGGUCCUUAAUGAUGGAUCCCACCUCCUUGAGGCACCAGCUUUUGAAGGUGACCUUCCUGUGCGCACACUGGCCACCAUGCAUCCUAUAUCACAACAGAGCAAAAACGCUUAAAUAACCAAGUAAAUGCAGAUUGUUUUCUCAUCCCUUACUUAUUUUGCAACAAGUAAUGAUUGACUAAACUAACGUUUUCCUCCUAUUAAAAUUAAAAGGUAUUCAAUGGUGAAUAUUUAAUCAUCAGUGCUCACAGAUGGGGUAAUAUAAUUCCAGCAUGAUGCUCUGACAGUUAAGUUUUUAUUCACUCAGCCACUCAGAGGAAGGUGCCACUAGUUAAUCUGUAAUCUGGGAUUGUAACUGUAUACCUGUCACCCAACCAAAGACGGCAAAUGAGCAAACACACAUCACCUGAUAAGUGCAGAAAGAAAAGGCUGCGACGUCAGUGGAAGGGAUGACUUACAUGCCUAUUAUCUCGUUCAUGACCUCUGAAUGUCCCAAAGCUCCGUACUUUGUAAUAUACUGUGUGGUCACGAUUACCGUCUAGGAAAUGUGGAAGCUAUGUCCGCACAGUUGGAUCCCACGCGCUGUAAUGGGUUAAAUGAUCAGGAGAAACUCUCCACACCAGUGAGCACUGCAGCAUCUGGCAGCAAGCGCCCUCACCAUCCAGGCCAUGCUGUCUUCUCGCUGCUGCUAUUGGAAAGGAGGAACAGAAGCCUUAGAUCCCACACCACCAGUUUCAGGGGCAGUUAUUACCCCUCAACCAUCAGGCUCCUGAACUAGUGUGAUAACUGCACUCAACUCGACACUGAACUGAUCCUUGAGCACAACCUACAGAAUCACUUUUCAAGGACUCAAAACACAUGUUCUCAAUAUUAUUCAUUUAUUAUUACUUUCUUUUUGUAUUUGCACAGUUUGCCUUCUUUUGGACAUAGGUUGCUUUUCUGUGGUGUUUUUCAAUGAUUCUAUUGUAUUUCUUUGUCCUACUGGAACGUUUGCAAGAAAGUAGAUAUCAGAGUAACAUAUGGGUGCCAUAUAUGUUCCUGUGUACUUUGAUAAUAAAUUGCCUUUGAAAUUUGA